rnacentral:tmRNA from 1 species
GGGGAUGUCAAGGUUUCGACGGGGUUAGUAGGCUGUAGAUAGCAGGUCAGUGUGGUUACUGCGAAAGGCCAAAAAAUCGUUUAAAUGAAAACGAAAAUUACGCUUUAGCUGCCUAGUGUCAGCUCACCUCUGAAUAUCCUUUCUGUAUGAAUAUUCUUUUGAGGUGUCACUUAUAUACAGAUUACUCUAUCUGAUUUUUCUAAGGAAUAGAGGACAUUUUAGAAAAUUGUAUUGUUUAAUCCUGUUUGCGGAUUCAAACAAUAUGAAAUAAAAUAGCAAACUAAACUUGUAGAAGUUUACGGUGCUAUCAAUUUCGGACACGGGUUCGACUCCCGUCAUCUCCACCA